GAUUUCUAUUCCAAGAGAAGAGAUUGUCUGGGAUCCAACUCUGCACAGAUGGGUUAACAAAACUGAGCCCAAGGCUGAGAACAAGUGUGUACCACCACCUCCACCGAUGGGGACAUAUGGAUAUCAGGGGAACACUGGCAGUGUCCCCAAAGGAGUGAAUCCUUACUCUAUGAAAGCAGCAGGUCUAUGGGGCAGCAGAUACCCUACAAUGAAUUACAAUGAUAGGACCAACUCAAAGCCUCCAAGCCAUGGGCCUGGACUGCUUCCUAGACAGCUCUCUGGCUUGCUCCCUCCUUCACACUUUGACCUCAUGGCACCAAUGGUUGUGCCACCUGACACUCUACCCUACUGAGGUGCGAGGGCCAUCCUGUGCCACCAGUCAAUUGAUGGUGGAUGACCUUCUGACCCCGUGCUCGCCAGGUGACCCGGCUGCCAUAGAAUUGACCUGGAUGGAUGUGCCUAGCGACAAGCUGCUGUAGCCCAUCUGCAUGUCCGACAUGCUGCCCUCACUAUAUACCACGCAACCCACAGUCAACAUGGAGGUCUUGUUCAAGGUCAGGAAGUUCACAGAGGACUUAGAACAGGAGGGUUGAGAGCUCCUGGGUGGCAGGGGCUUUACUACUUCUUACUCAGUCUCUCCUAUCAAGACCCAACUCCAGUCAAAGAGUAGCUACAGUAUUACAGCAGUAUUACAACACUACGAACCUGCAUUGGCAAGAAUGAUGGAGCAUUUUAAUUUACACACAAUUGUGCAAUGGAAAUGUUUUUUUUUUUGCAUAUCCCAACUCCCCCU